rnacentral:lncRNA from 1 species
GUUUAGGAACUAUAGAUAUAUUCUUAAUUAGAUUGUUAUUCGAGUUCCUUGGUCACUAUAUGUAUUUCUUGCUGGACAUAUGAUGAUCUGGCUAGAUGUACCUUGAUAUUUCUGUCAAAUGUCAAAUCGGAAAGGUUGGUACUGACUGGUACGGCCAUAAUUGUACUAAAUGUUUAGACCCAAGUAACAUUGUAAGAUAGCUUACUUAAAUAUCAACUUAUAAAGCAAUCUUUAGAAUUGCAAAAAAUGAGGUCUUUGUCCAUCAA